UCGAUAAGUCAGUGGUGAAAGCCCAGAGCUCAACUCUGGAACUGCCAUUGAAACUGUCGAGCUGGAAUCUCAGAGGGGGUAGCGGAAUUCCAAAUGUAGGGGUGAAAUCCGUAGAUAUUUGGAGGAACACCGGUGGCGAAGGCGGCUACCUGGAUGAGUAUUGACACUGAGGCUCGAAAGCGUGGGGAUCAAACAGGAUUAGAUACCCUGGUAGUCCACGCUGUAAACGAUGACUGCUAGUUGUUGGGGGGUUCCCUCUCAGUGACGAAGCUAACGCAUUAAGCAGUCCGCCUGGGGAGUACGGUCGCAAGAUUAAAACUCAAAGAAAUUGACGGGGACCCGCACAAGCGGUGGAGCAUGUGGUUUAAUUCGAGGCAACGCGAAGAACCUUACCAGGCCUUGACAUGUCCAGUUUGAUCGCCAGAGAUGGCUUUCUUCACUUCGGGUGGCUGGAACACAGGUGCUGCAUGGCUGUCGUCAGCUCGUGUCGUGAGAUGUUGGGUUAAGUCCCGCAACGAGCGCAACCCACGUCCUUAGUUGCCAUCAUUCAGUCGGGCACUCUAGGGAGACUGCCGGUGGUAAGCCGCGAGGAAGGUGUGGAUGACGUCAAGUCCUCAUGGCCCUUACGGGAUGGGCUACACACGUGCUACAAUGGCGGUGACAGUGGGACGCGAAACCGCGAGGUUGAGCAAAUCCCCAAAAGCCGUCUCAGUUCGGAUUGCACUCUGCAACUCGGGUGCAUGAAGGCGGAAUCGCUAGUAAUCGU
rnacentral:rRNA from 1 species